rnacentral:tRNA from 1 species
AGUAAAGUGCCUGAAAAAGGUUUAUCGUGAUAGGAUAAAUUAUGUAAUGCUUAUUUUACCUUUACUA